rnacentral:rRNA from 1 species
CCUACGGGUGGCUGCAGUGGGGAAUAUUGCACAAUGGGCGCAAGCCUGAUGCAGCCAUGCCGCGUGUGUGAAGAAGACCUUCGGGUUGUAAAGCACUUUCAGCGGGGAGGAAGGCGGUGAGGUUAAUAACCUCAUCGAUUGACGUUACCCGCAGAAGAAGCACCGGCUAACUCCGUGCCAGCAGCCGCGGUAAUACGGAGGGUGCAAGCGUUAAUCGGAAUUACUGGGCGUAAAGCGCACGCAGGCGGUCUGUCAAGUCGGAUGUGAAAUCCCCGGGCUCAACCUGGGAACUGCAUUCGAAACUGGCAGGCUAGAGUCUUGUAGAGGGGGGUAGAAUUCCAGGUGUAGCGGUGAAAUGCGUAGAGAUCUGGAGGAAUACCGGUGGCGAAGGCGGCCCCCUGGACAAAGACUGACGCUCAGGUGCGAAAGCGUGGGGAGCAAACAGGAUUAGAUACCCCAGUAGUC